AGCGGCGUGUGCCCUUCGCCGCGGCCAGGGACGGCCUGUGGACAGGGUCCUGCAGGGCGAGGUGGCCAGGAGGGUUGUGCUGCAAGGGGUGACCAGGUGCCUGGCCUCUCUGCCCCUUCACGUGGGAGGACGGGUGAGGGUGCCAGGCCUGGGGGAUGCCCGGGCUCUGCUCCUUGGGUCAGCGCUGCAGACCGGAGGGAAGGGGUCCAGCUCUCUGCAGCUCUGCAGGGCACGGGAGCUGGUGGAGCACGGCCAAGGGGCAGCUCCUUUGCAGUGGAGAGGGACACCCCCGAGCCGUGGGGGUUCCCCAUGCCAGACAUGGCCCCCAAGUGCUAAGUCUCUCAAAUCUCCCCCAUCGCUGAGCACCCACCCUCUUAGCUCUGCUCACAGGGUUUCCCUCGUGACUCCGGCCUCCCGUGCCUGUUCGCGUUACGCCUGUCCUCCCUCUGGGAGCGCCUCCUCCGCUGGGAUCAAAGGCAGCCUGGGGUAAGGUCAUUCCAGUCAGCGAGUGCGAGUGCCUGGGAGUGGGAGCAGAGCCACGCGGCUGUGUUUUGGAGGGGAGGGCUUGCUCUGCGGCUGCACUGCACAUUCCUCACGCAGCUGCAGAUCCUCCGACUUGCAGAACAGCACAUUUGAGACGACAAGAAUGGGACAAUUAUAAGCCUGGCAUGACUCGAACCCAAUGAAGGCAAAUAAAACUCCACUGAAAACAAACUGGGACGACGUGGACUCACGUCCCAUUCUCCCAUUGCUGGCUGGCAUGGCGGUCCCGCUUGUUGGGGCCGGGGGAGGUGGUUAGGACUGAGGGGGUUGACUUGAACGUCGGGUGGAGGAAGGCUUUCGGUCCUCGAGCGGCUGACAUGCUGUGGGUCACGACUGAAGCUCAGGUCUCGUUUUCUUCUCCAUGUCCGAUCCUGGCAGCCUGGCUGGCACGUCCGCUGGCACCGCGAGCGAGGGCCAGCUCCUGCUCACGUUGCUUUCUUACGGCUGCCCAACACCCAGGCCUCCAAGUGCGCUCGUGACUUCAGUCCUCUCUGGGGUGGGCCAUGUCCGACGUGUGAAGAAGCCAAACAAAGUUGGCCCCCAAACGCCCCUGCAGUCACCUCAUCUCUGGGCAAAUAAUCACCUGGGAAGGGGAAGCCAGAGGCAUUUUCAGCGAGACCUAAACCUUGUGCUGGUGGAGCUGCCGAUGCGGGCGCCAAGCCGUGAAGAGGUGGCGCCGGUAGCAGUCUUAGGGGAGGGCAAACCGGGCGACUGCCCAGGACCCUGCACUUUAUAAAAAUAAAAAUGAAUUACAGUGAA